rnacentral:tRNA from 1 species
GAGGGUAUAGCUCAGUGCUAGAGUGUGUACUUAGCAUGCACGAGGCCCUGGGUUCAAUCCCCAGUAUCUCCA